rnacentral:tRNA from 1 species
UGCAUCGGCCGGCCGGGAAAUCGAACAACCCGGCCAGCAUUCUCACCACUGAACCACCGAUGC